GCUGAACAGUCUGCUGAAUUUCGGUGAAUAUUUAACGGUGGGGUUACUGGAAUAAUGUUGAAGUUAUCAAUCCUGCUUGGAUGCAUCCUGAGCCUCACUUUGGCUUAUCCUAUUGAAGAUGGCCAUAAGCGGCUUGUGCGCUCAGACUCUAAUGAGUCCUAUAUGGACGUCUACUCUGAGUUGGCUAACACGUUGAUCAAACAACAGUUACAACAAUAUCUGCAGCAACUCCUACUUCAGCUGCUCCGGCCUCCUGCUCCUGCUCCUGCUCCUGCUCCUGCUCCUGCUCCAG